AUGGGCAUCCACUUGGCCUCCACCUUCCUCCUCCUCCUGGCAGCCCUCCCAGGGCUGCGGGCGGCCGUGCAGCUGGUCGAGUCCGGAGGGGGCCUCCAGACCCCCGGGGGGUCCCUGACCCUCGUCUGCAAGGCCUCCGGCUUCACCUUCAGCAGCUACAGCAUGAGCUGGGCACGACAGGCCCCCGGGAAGGGGCUCGAAGCUGUCGCGGGUAUUGGCAGCUAUGGUAGCACAUCCUACGCGCCGUCGGUCAAGGGGCGCUUCACCAUCUCCAAGGACGACUCCCAGAGCACGGUCACGCUGCAGAUGAACAGCCUGAAGACCGACGACACGGGCACCUAUUUCUGCGCGAAAGCUGCUCACGCCCCCAGAAGUGAGCGGGGGGAGGGGUUUUUGCACGGCGGGGCCGCGGCGCCGCCUCACCGUGGCAAUGUUGGUGGUAUUGAUGCGUGGGGCAGCGGAACCGUCGUCACCGUCUCCUCCGCGUCCCCCCGCCCCCCCAGCCUCUUCCCGCUGGUUUCCUGCGCCCCGCCCGGCACGCAGGAGAUCUACGCCGUGGGUUGCGUGGCCGUGGGUUUCCUCCCCGACGCCCUCGCCUUCAGCUGGAACUCCUCGAGCAAGAGCAGCGUCACGCAGGGCGUGGCCGCCUUCCCGUCCGCCGCGGCCGCCGGCCUCCACACGGCCGCCAGCAGCCUCGUGCUGCCCCUGUCGGAGGGGAAGAGCCAGCAGCCCUUCUACUGCCGGGCCGCCCACCCCCAGGGCACGCGCGCCGUCGAGGUGGCCAACCACGGCCCCGCCCACCAAGACCCCGCCCUCCACGACCCCGCCCUCUCCGUCCGCCCGCCUUCCCGCGAGGAUUUCGAAGGCCCCUUCCGCAACUCCAGCGUCGCCUGCGAGCUCCGGGGCGUCGGCCGGCGCCCCGCCUCCCCCUCCCCCCCCCGCUGGUUCAAAAACGGCCUGCCCUUGACGGCCGGCGUCGUCACGGAGAGGGCGGAGCUGGAGGGCGGGGCCGCUUACGUCAUCACCAGCCGGGCGAGCGUCAGCGAGAGCGAAUGGGACGGCGGCGCCGUCUACGCGUGUCAGUGGGGGGAGGAGCUGCGCAACACGAGCAAAGCCCUGGAGUGCGGGUACGGCCCGGCGGGUAACGAGGAGAUCUCGGUGCACGUCGUCCCCCCCGUCUUCGCGGAUAUUUUCGAGGCGAAAGCGGCCAAGCUGAGGUGCAAAGUCGGGAACCUCUCGAGCGCGUUGGGCCUGGCCGUCACCUGGCGGAAAGAAGGGGGCGAGCGAUUGGACAGCAAAAGGUCGCCCCAGGUGCUGCAGCCCAACGGGCUGCUGAGCGUCGAGGAGGUGGCCAGCGUCUGCGCCGAGGACUGGGACAAGGGGGAGGUUUAUAUCUGCAGGGUUUCCCACCCCGACUUGCUCUUCCCCACCGAGGUCAAGCUGCAGAAGAGCACGAGCCCGGACGCCACCCCGCCCUCCAUCUACGUCUUCCCGCCGCCCCCGGAGCAACUCGCCAUGCACGAAGCCGCCACCGUCACGUGCCUGGUGAAGGGCUUCAACCCUCCCGACCUCUUCGUCCGUUGGCUCCGCAACGGCGACCCGAUACCGGCCGCCCAAUACGUCACGGCCCCGCCCGCCCCCGAGGCCCGCUCGGCCGCCUCCUACUUCACCUACAGCGCCCUCACGGUCCGCAGCGACGACUGGGGCGCCGGCAACGUCUUCACGUGCCUGGUCGGCCACGAGCGAAUCCCCUUGCAGGUUGCUCAGAAGUCGGUGGAUAAAGCUUCGGCCUUCCUCGACGGCUUCGCUGAGGGGGAGGACGACGACCUCAACAACCUCUGGGCGACGGCCUCGACCUUCAUCGUCCUCUUCAUCCUCAGCCUCUUCUACAGCGCCACCGUCACCUUGAUCAAGGUGAAAUGACCCCAAAAUCCCGACGCCUCUCGCCGGACGUCGCCGGAACGUUUCGGGACUCUCGCCCCUCCCCCCCUUGUACCCGCCCCUCCCCCCCUUGUAAAUAUUCUCCAGCCCGGAAAUAAAAUUUCCCAA